CCCCUCCCCUCCGUAGGUCCCGCCGACACCUCACCAGUGUGGCCGUUGUUGCAGAGGCUCAGUUCCUGGCGAGGCUGGCGCCCGUAGCCGACGAGUUCCAGGGGCUGCAGAGCGCGGCAGAAGACGCUCCAAAGACUGUGGCCACUCCCUGCAUAAAGGAGAAGAAUUCACAAGCCCCCUGUUAAAGCCCAGCUCCUUCCCGGCGCCCAGAAUGAAAAAGACUUUCUCCCACUCUGGCAGUGGCUUCAAAGCUGUCUUGCAAGAGUGUUACAGUUCCUGGCUUAGAGCCAACGUGGUGGUGCACACCUGAAGCCCCAGAACUCAGAGGUGAAAGCAGUUCAAGGCCACCCUGAUCUACACAAGGCGAGCCUGCUUGCCCCUCCCCGACAAAGCAAUCCCAAGUAUUUCCACCUGUUGAUUGCUUUCCAGCACUGCAAACUGGAG